GACGAACGCUGGCGGCGUGCUUAACACAUGCAAGUCGAGCGGAGCGGCGAACGGGUGAGUAACUCGUGAGUAACUGUCCCCCUCUCUGGGAUAACAGUUGGAAACGGCUUCUAAUACCGGCUAGUGGGGGAUGACUCGCGUCCUAUCAGUUUGUUGGUGGGGUAGUGGCCUACCAAGGCUACGACGGGUGGCCGGCCUGGGUGGGCGACCGGCCACAUUGGGCUGAGAUACGGCCCAAACGCCCACGGGAGGCAGCAGGGGGGAAGAUUGCACAAUGGGGGAAACCCUGAAGCAGCAACGCGCGUGAGGGAUGACGGCCUUCGGGUUGUAAACCGCUUUCAGCCAUGACGCGGUAGUAGCAGAAGAGGCACCGGCUAACUACGUGCCAGCAGCCGCGGUAAUUC
rnacentral:rRNA from 1 species